UGAUAUCCUUGGAUUCAAUGGACAAACUACUAGUAGCAACUAGACAUGUUUUUAUUUCCAAGAAUGCUUGUAAUGAGCUGGUCAAAAAAUUCAUAGGAUACAGGGUGCUAACAAUGGUAAUUAUCAUUAAUAAUAUAAUAUUAAAAAAUCUACUGGAUAUAUAACUAAUAUUAAAUUGUUUCAACAGGUUUCCAUUAAAUCCUAAUAAACGUACAGGGUGAGGGUAAAUCAAGUGACCACGAAACGUGAGGAAGCAGAACCCCAAUCACGCUUCUUUCUUUUAAGCUUGGAAAGGGAUGCAUUUAAACGUAUUAAAUGAACAAGGAAACAGAAAAUAAGAAGGACUGAAAGUGGAGAAGUGGAGCCCUUUAAUUUUCCUUCCUCUUGGGCGUGAAGGUGCAAUUUUCAGAAAAUACAUGCAAUCCAGAUUACACGGAUGCAUAAAAGGAAGGUUGCGGUGCGAUGUGUGGCUUAUCCCACUUAUUUCCUUUCAUCUGCAUUUACUAUUAAGAGGCAUUUCUCUUUUGUCAGCACAUGGAAUAAAACUCGAGCACGUGUAGUGAUCCUCUAGAUCGUCUGACAAAUGGGAGAGAAUUAAAGUUCAGGUUGAUGGUACCGAAACAAUAUCUACAAUGUUUGGUGGACUACAUUCUUGAUUUGCUGUCUUCGUCUUCACCUUGCAACAUUAUACAGUCAAUUUCCAAGUGAUGAGUGAGGGCAACUGAAGAUUUAUGUGAAUUCCACUGAAAUAAGAAAUUUUCUGCAUUGGCAUUCCUCUUGGAUUUGAUUUGCUUUUCACACCUGCAAACUUUG